CAGGCUUAACACAUGCAAGUCGAGGGGCAGCAUGGUCUUAGCUUGCUAAGGCCGAUGGCGACCGGCGCACGGGUGAGUAACGCGUAUCCAACCUGCCUUACACUCUUGGACAGCCUUCUGAAAGGGAGAUUAAUACAAGAUGUUAUCAUGAGUAAGCAUUUUCACAUGAUUAAAGGUUUACCGGUGUAAGAUGGGGAUGCGUUCCAUUAGAUAGUAGGCGGGGUAACGGCCCACCUAGUCUUCGAUGGAUAGGGGUUCUGAGAGGAAGGUCCCCCACAUUGGAACUGAGACACGGUCCAAACUCCUACGGGAGGCAGCAGUGAGGAAUAUUGGUCAAUGGACGAGAGUCUGAACCAGCCAAGUAGCGUGAAGGAUGAAGGUUCUAUGGAUUGUAAACUUCUUUUAUACGGGAAUAAACGGAUCCACGUGUGGAUUUUUGCAUGUACCGUAUGAAUAAGGAUCGGCUAGCUCCGUGCCAGCAGCCGCGGUAAUACGGAGGAUCCGAGCGUUAUCCGGAUUUAUUGGGUUUAAAGGGAGCGUAGAUGGGUUGUUAAGUCAGUUGUGAAAGUUUGCGGCUCAACCGUAAAAUUGCAAUUGAUACUGGCAGUCUUGAGUACAGUUGAGGUAGGCGGAAUUCGUGGUGUAGCGGUGAAAUGCUUAGAUAUCACGAAGAACUCCGAUUGCGAAGGCAGCUUACUAACCUGUAACUGACAUUGAUGCUCGAAAGUGUGGGUAUCAAACAGGAUUAGAUACCCUGGUAGUCCACACGGUAAACGAUGAAUACUCGCUGUAGGCGAUAUACAGUCUGCGGCCAAGCGAAAGCAUUAAGUAUUCCACCUGGGGAGUACGCCGGCAACGGUGAAACUCAAAGGAAUUGACGGGGGCCCGCACAAGCGGAGGAACAUGUGGUUUAAUUCGAUGAUACGCGAGGAACCUUACCCGGGCUUAAAUUGCAACCGAAUAUGGCGGAAACGCUAUAGCUAGCAAUAGCGGUUGUGAAGGUGCUGCAUGGUUGUCGUCAGCUCGUGCCGUGAGGUGUCGGCUUAAGUGCCAUAACGAGCGCAACCCUUGCCGAUAGUUGCUAACAGGUCAUGCUGAGGACUCUGUCGGGACUGCCAUCGUAAGAUGUGAGGAAGGUGGGGAUGACGUCAAAUCAGCACGGCCCUUACGUCCGGGGCUACACACGUGUUACAAUGGGGGGUACAGAGGGCUGCUACCACGCAAGUGGAUGCCAAUCCCAAAAACCUCUCUCAGUUCGGAUUGAAGUCUGCAACCCGACUUCAUGAAGCUGGAUUCGCUAGUAAUCGCGCAUCAGCCACGGCGCGGUGAAUACGUUCCCGGGCCUUGUACACACCGCCCGUCAAGCCAUGGGAGCCGGGGGUACCUGAAGUGCGUAACAGCAAGGAGCGCCCUAGGGUAAAACUGGUGACUGGG
rnacentral:rRNA from 1 species